rnacentral:snoRNA from 1 species
GAGCUGUGAAGAUUUAGGCUUCAGCGAUGGUUGGGUCCAUCGCAUUCAUCUGAUAUCUUGGAUGUGGAAUUUGCCAUACACUGAGCUC